rnacentral:rRNA from 1 species
AUGGAAUGCCCUGUCCGGUGUAAGCUAAAUGCAGAUGGAGCAUGGUGGGUGGUCACCGAAUAUUUCGACGAACACAACCAUGAACUCAUAAAGAAGUUUGAUCUCGUAAAAUUUCUGAGCGCCCAUAGAGGAUUCCCCCUCAAGAAGAAAUUCAUAAAGCUGCUACAUGAUUGUAACGUCAGUCCAUAAAGAAUGGUCCAGAUACUGUCCUUGAUCCACAGCGGAGAUGGUAGACUGAGUAGCAUGACCUACAUACCGGAAGACAUCACAAACCUAAAGGCAAAGUACCAUAGAGAGAGCAGGUUGGCUGACAUAGAAGACACGAUAGCCUACUUCGAAGAGAAAGCAAAAGCGGAUGCUGAUUUCUUCUAUAGGAUAAGAUUGGACGAUGAGGACCGUGUCAGAAACAUGUAUUGGGUGGAUGGUGCUACAAGAAGAUCCUACAAACAUUUCCAUGAUUGCAUUUCAUUCGACACGACAUAUCUCACAAAUAUGUACAAGAUGCCCUGCGCUCCAUUCAUGGGAAUAAAUAACCACAAUACAGAUGGUUACACUUGGCUGUUCAAAACCUUCUUGGAGUGCAUGGAUGGACUUGCUCCGAUGAAUAUAAUAACAGACCAGGAUUUUAGCAUGCGUGCAGGCAUAGAGGAGGUCUUUCCGUUGGCAUUGCACAUGCACUGCAGGUGGCAUAUUAUUAAGAAGGCUGAGGAGUGCUUCUUCCCAUUUCUGCAGACUACGCAGCACAGCGAGGGGUUCAAUUCUGUUUUGAAGUGGUACGACGGGAUUGUGUGCUGUCACAUGCUGAAAAUAAUGGACAUGGUCGUGGUAACGCGAUUGCCCCGCCAUUUCAUACGGCGGCGAUGGACUUGGGAUGCUGAUGAUGCGUUGGGGCCACAAACAUCAAAUGCAGUUUUGGCUGUGCAUGAUGAGAGACCAGCGGCAACCAUGGAAGCUGUGAGGCACGUUGUGUUGACCAAGAACUAUACUGAACUAAUAGAUGAAGCAUGCAAGAGUGAUGAGACAGCAAGGGUGGCAGAAAAACACAUGAAGGCCCUGAAAAGAGAGCUUGAUGAGAUCAAAAAUAGGAAGGCUGAAGAAGCCUUACACAGGUUCCCUCGUACCUCAAGUGUGCCUUCAUCCACGGGUCCAUCAUUUGAAAACUCGGAGGUAGGGUCUGGAACAGCAAACACGCAAACCUAG